UACGAAGGGGGCUAGCGUUGCUCGGAAUUACUAGGCGUAAAGCGCACGUAGGCGGAUUUGUAAGUCAGGGGUGAAAUCCCGAGGCUCAACCUCGGAACUGCCUUUGAUACUGCAAAUCUCGAGUCCGGAAGAGGUGAGUGGAAUUCCUAGUGUAGAGGUGAAAUUCGUAGAUAUUAGGAAGAACACCAGUGGCGAAGGCGGCUCACUGGUCCGGUACUGACGCUGAGGUGCGAAAGCGUGGGGAGCAAACAGG
rnacentral:rRNA from 1 species